rnacentral:lncRNA from 1 species
AUGUAAAUAUUUUCUUUCAUAUGCAGGCAGAAAAUGGGAUAUUAAAAUAUGAGCCAACAAUAGAUUAUUAAAAAAUUUCUACUCAGUCAUCUUUUACUGUAAGGGCAUUUUGGAAUCUUCAUUUACAAAAGCAUUUCUGAAGUUGCAAAAUCUGACACAGAUGAAAGAUAAAAGAGCCAGAAAUUCCUUCUCACAUGCAAUAUCAAACUGACUUGGGUUACAGGAAUGCUGUUAAACUGAGUUUGAACAAUCCUUUUUUAUUGUGUUUAUCUAUGCAUGAAGCAACUUGUCAUGUUCUUCUCUUAAGUAAAAAGCACUGUCC